GGGCGAUUAGCUCAGUGGUAGAGCACACCCUUCACACGGGUGGGGUCACAAGUUCGAACCUUGUAUCGCCCACCA
rnacentral:tRNA from 1 species